UACGUAGGGUGCAAGCGUUGUCCGGAAUUAUUGGGCGUAAAGAGCUCGUAGGCGGUCUGUCGCGUCGGAUGUGAAAACCCAGGGCUCAACCCUGGGCCUGCAUUCGAUACGGGCAGACUAGAGUUCGGUAGGGGAGACUGGAAUUCCUGGUGUAGCGGUGAAAUGCGCAGAUAUCAGGAGGAACACCGGUGGCGAAGGCGGGUUGCUGGGCUGACACUGACGCUGACAGCGCGAAAGCUAGGGGAGCGAACGGG
rnacentral:rRNA from 1 species